AACAGAAAUCAUAGAUCUUUCUUCGACUUCCCGUUUUCCCUCUAUAAAACAGAUGCAAAAUAAAAUAAUAUCUAAGAAACUAUGCGUACCACUGAGAAUCACAGCAAAAGUUUGGCUUCAAUCUAUAGAGAUGAGGCUUUUGCAAAAACCCCUUUUUAUACAGUUUAUUUCGACAUUUUUGAUUGUUUUUUAUUUCCCUUGGGAGUUAUCUCAUGUCAGAUUCCAUGUCGGGCCCGGCUUCCUAAAAUCUCAUCUAAGAUGCAUAGAUCGAACCCGACUCUUUCAAUUCGUCGUCAGAGUCUCUGUAAUCGUUGUUACAGCGACACCCUCCUUUCUAGCAUUGUAUAAACUCCUACUCCAAAUAUUUCCUCACGCACAAUCCUCAAUCUCCAAACAAGCACAACAGCUGAUGAUGAUGAAAUUGGAGUUGAGAUCGCCAUGAGGGUGGUUAGAUUCGCCAAGGGCUAGUUUUCCCUUUUGAGCUCUUCCCAAAAUGGCAACGGGACAACUGUUCUCUCGGACCACACAAGCUUUGUUCUACAACUAUAAGUAGCUUCCUGUUCAACGAAUGCUUGACUUCGACUUCCUAUGUGGACGUUAAACGCCUUCUCUUGCUGGAAUAAUUGUUUAAAGCAUCAAACUUGAAGGUUGGAUUUUGUGGUUACCAUUCCUAGCUUUCUUAAGGUUCACACAGCAGUGUAGAGGAGAGUCAGAGCCGUAAGAACUGCUAGACAGACUGUACGAGAGCUGUUCUUGCUGUUGGACCAACAGUGUUGGUGCAGCUUCAAGAUCUGAAGCACUGAAGGAACAAGUAUUAGCAACGAGCCUUCUCGAAGACAAUCCCUUGACGGAGCUGAUAUUAUACCCAAACUGAAUGGCUUCUUCACCACUUACUUUCCUUCGGAGGACACUAGAUCUAUUGUAUUUUUUUAGUAGCAACGAGAAUCUAUAUCCUAUAAAUAUAGAUGACGAACUCCCCAAAUCUCUCCGCUUCAUCCAAUCCAUUCUUAUCUUUUCCUUUCAAACCUUGGAACUUUGAGGACAUGUGGAGAUUCCCUCUUACGUGGAGUUUAUGCAACCAAAUUGCAGUUACAUUACAUCCUCAUCUUAACUGCAGAAGAUUCGACCAACUAUCUUCAACUUCCCUCAUUCCGGCUUCCUAGGCAAAGAUACUGAUUCAGGUCUUACAGAGAAGCAUAUAGACCUGGUGUUUGGACUUACUAAUGGUGCAAGCCAUAUGGUAAGAGGGGAUGGAGGAAUUCAUGUCUCUCACAAGGACUGCUACAAACCAAGUGUUACUAGAAAAAUUAAGUUUCUGCAGUGCAUUUAAAACUAAAUAAGCUCAAACGAAUGUCUUGCAUUAUUUUUUUCUUUACACUAUCACUUAAAAACACAUUUAGAUUGGGGAAAUUUUUCAAACGACUCAAGUUAUAAGUU